GAUGAACGCUGGCGGCGUGCCUAAUACAUGCAAGUCGAGCGAACAGACGAGGAGCUUGCUCCUCUAACGUUAGCGGCGGACGGGUGAGUAACACGUGGAUAACCUACCUAUAAGACUGGGAUAACUUCGGGAAACCGGAGCUAAUACCGGAUAAUAUAUUGAACCGCAUGGUUCAAUAGUGAAAGACGGUUUUGCUGUCACUUAUAGAUGGAUCCGCGCCGCAUUAGCUAGUUGGUAAGGUAACAGCUUACCAAGGCAACGAUGCGUAGCCGACCUGAGAGGGUGAUCGGCCACACUGGAACUGAGACACGGUCCAGACUCCUACGGGAGGCAGCAGUAGGGAAUCUGCCGCAAUGGGCGAAAGCCUGACGGAGCAACGCCGCGUGAGUGAUGAAGGUCUUCGGAUCGUAAAACUCUGUUAUUAGGGAAGAACAAAUGUGUAAGUAACGAUGCACGUCUUGACGGUACCUAAUCAGAAAGCCACGGCUAACUACGU
rnacentral:rRNA from 1 species